rnacentral:tRNA from 1 species
CCUUUGAUAAGCUAAAUAAAGCUGUUGGGCUCAUAACCCAAAAAUGGAUUUUUCCUCUUUGGA